UAGGGAAUAUUGGGCAAUGCCCGCAAGGGUGACCCAGCAACGCCGCGUGGAGGAAGAAGGUCGUAAGAUCGUAAACUCCUGUUAGAAGGAACGAAUAGCUUGUUUUCGUGAGAGAAUGAGUCUGACGGUACCUUCAGAGAAAGCCCCGGCUAACUACGUGCCAGCAGCCGCGGUAAUACGUAGGGGGCAAGCGUUGUCCGGAUUUACUGGGUGUAAAGGGCGCGUAGGCGGAUUUAUAAGUCAGAGGUGAAAUCCCACAGCUUAACUGUGGAACUGCCUUUGAAACUAUGAAUCUUGAAUAUAGAAGAGAGAAGCGGAAUUCCAGGUGUAGUGGUAAAAUGCGUAGAUAUCUGGAAGAACACCAGUCGCGAAGGCGGCUUCUUGGUCUAUUAUUGACGCUGAGGCGCGAAAGCGUGGGGAGCAAACAGG
rnacentral:rRNA from 1 species